UAGAGUUUGAUCCUGGCUCAGGAUGAACGCUGGCGGCGUGCCUAAUACAUGCAAGUCGAGCGAACGGACGAGAAGCUUGCUUCUCUGAUGUUAGCGGCGGACGGGUGAGUAACACGUGGAUAACCUACCUAUAAGACUGGGAUAACUUCGGGAAACCGGAGCUAAUACCGGAUAAUAUUUUGAACCGCAUGGUUCAAAAGUGAAAGACGGUCUUGCUGUCACUUAUAGAUGGAUCCGCGCUGCAUUAGCUAGUUGGUAAGGUAACGGCUUACCAAGGCAACGAUGCAUAGCCGACCUGAGAGGGUGAUCGGCCACACUGGAACUGAGACACGGUCCAGACUCCUACGGGAGGCAGCAGUAGGGAAUCUUCCGCAAUGGGCGAAAGCCUGACGGAGCAACGCCGCGUGAGUGAUGAAGGUCUUCGGAUCGUAAAACUCUGUUAUUAGGGAAGAACAUAUGUGUAAGUAACUGUGCACAUCUUGACGGUACCUAAUCAGAAAGCCACGGCUAACUACGUGCCAGCAGCCGCGGUAAUACGUAGGUGGCAAGCGUUAUCCGGAAUUAUUGGGCGUAAAGCGCGCGUAGGCGGUUUUUUAAGUCUGAUGUGAAAGCCCACGGCUCAACCGUGGAGGGUCAUUGGAAACUGGAAAACUUGAGUGCAGAAGAGGAAAGUGGAAUUCCAUGUGUAGCGGUGAAAUGCGCAGAGAUAUGGAGGAACACCAGUGGCGAAGGCGACUUUCUGGUCUGUAACUGACGCUGAUGUGCGAAAGCGUGGGGAUCAAACAGGAUUAGAUACCCUGGUAGUCCACGCCGUAAACGAUGAGUGCUAAGUGUUAGGGGGUUUCCGCCCCUUAGUGCUGCAGCUAACGCAUUAAGCACUCCGCCUGGGGAGUACGACCGCAAGGUUGAAACUCAAAGGAAUUGACGGGGACCCGCACAAGCGGUGGAGCAUGUGGUUUAAUUCGAAGCAACGCGAAGAACCUUACCAAAUCUUGACAUCCUUUGACAACUCUAGAGAUAGAGCUUUCCCCUUCGGGGGACAAAGUGACAGGUGGUGCAUGGUUGUCGUCAGCUCGUGUCGUGAGAUGUUGGGUUAAGUCCCGCAACGAGCGCAACCCUUAAGCUUAGUUGCCAUCAUUAAGUUGGGCACUCUAAGUUGACUGCCGGUGACAAACCGGAGGAAGGUGGGGAUGACGUCAAAUCAUCAUGCCCCUUAUGAUUUGGGCUACACACGUGCUACAAUGGACAAUACAAAGGGCAGCGAAACCGCGAGGUCAAGCAAAUCCCAUAAAGUUGUUCUCAGUUCGGAUUGUAGUCUGCAACUCGACUACAUGAAGCUGGAAUCGCUAGUAAUCGUAGAUCAGCAUGCUACGGUGAAUACGUUCCCGG
rnacentral:rRNA from 1 species